UAGCUUGAGACAGAUUUGGAGUUUGCAAGCUAACUCAGCUUCCCCAAGUAUUUGCUAAGUUUCAAUCACCUAAGAGAAAUAAAAUAGGCCUUGCUAAGGAAAGAACAAAGACUUCCAAUCUGACAGUUCUGAGGAAGGCGAGGAGCCGCUCUGCUGGAUCAAAACGGCCUUAUUCAGAGGAGGUUUAUAAACAACCCAGCAAGUCUUUCUUCCUGGCUUUUAUUUUAUUUUUUUCCUUUAGAUCAUGCAUGUGUUUCAUGAUUUCUCCUCCCUUCAUUCAGUCCGCCCCCGAGGAUAGGGUCAUGCAUGGAGCAAUCAGGGAUGCAUCCCGGAACAGAGUAUUAAAGGCACCCUCCAGGUUCCACCGGACGGAGAAAACAUCGUAGAGCCAGGGGAAAUGAAGCAAAUCAUUCACCUAGGACGGCUCAGAAUAGAUCAUUCUGUAGCUCCGCAUCCACCAUUCAUAAGGGAAUCCAGAGCUUUUCUAAAAGAGCUUAAGAGAUUUUAUUCCUAAUCCAUUUUUCCUCUACAGCUUUGGAAAUAUGACUCUAAUUUAAUGAUUACAGGAGAUGAGCAAAAGAAGGAACUGAACAAGAUAACAUCAGCUUGCUUUGUAAUGAAAGACCAAAUUUUCCAAAUAUAGACCAAAAUCCAAUUGUCCUGCUGUUGUUUAUAAAUGUUCCCUGUGUGACAUUUGCAUGACAGAUCCAAUUGGAAUACACAUGUAUCCUUUCACAUUUAAAGAGCUUUCUGCUUGACACUUUACAAAGUUUGGAGAGGCAAACCACAAGUCAAUUUCUCUAAAUCACCUUCCUGUCUCCUAGGACAGUAAACUUUGCUGAUGGAACAAAUACAGGCUGCAAUAAGUCAAACCCCCAAACAAUGGUUAGCAUUGCAGACAGCAAGCAUUCAAAACACCAGGGACUUCCCAAUGGUUGAUAACAAAUAAGAUUUUAAAAGUGGUGCCACACAAAAUACUGUGUGGUGUCCUAGAUUAGAUUCUGAAUCAGUAAAAAGACCUUCAUGAAAAAAAAACUAGUGAAAUGCCAACAAGUCUGGGGGUUAGUUAAUAGUGAUAUGCCAAUGUUAAUUUCCCAUUUUGACAAAUGCAUGGUGGUUGGGUUAUAUCAACAUAGGAAUGAACUGGGUGAUGAAUGUACUCAAAUUCUCUGUUCAGUCGUUGCAACUUUUCUGUAGAUACAAAUUUAUUUAUUUGUUUGUUUUAAAGUGAGGUCACCUUUGCAUUUGUUGCUAGUGGUCAUGUAAAUGGAUGUAAGUAUUCUGACAGUACUCAUCAGAAGUUUUAGUCGGGGGCUGGGGAUUUAGCUCAGCGGCAUAAGCGCCUGCCGUGCAAGCAGGCAGUCGUGAAUUCAAUCCCUGGUACUGAUAAAAAAAAAAAAGAAGAAGUUUUAGACGUAUAUGUGUACUUUGAUACGUAAUAUUUCAUUUCCAGGAAUUUGUGUUCAGGAAAUAGGAAUGUUCAUCUCAGCAUUCCCAGGAAUGAGAAAAACUGACAGCAAACUAUGAAGUUAAUGCUAGGUUCUAUAAGGAAGAGUGGUAUUGUCCUGUCCUGCCGAAGAACUUCCAAAGUUAUGAAAUGUUGGAAAAGUCAAUGUGAUAGGGCUCAGCCGCAUAAGUGCCUGCCUUGCAAGCGUGCAGUCAUGAGUUUGAUCCCUGGUACAAAAAAAAAAAAGUCAAUGUGAUGAUGUGGAAAGACGCCAAGUAUAUAUUGUCAAGUGAAUAAAAGCAGGUUACAAAGUAAUUGGUGUGGUAUGAACUCAUGUUUCAAAAAAUCUAUGUGCUCCUGAGAAUGAAAGAAGAUAUACCAGUGUAUAAGGAGUGGCUUUCUCUGUGUUCGGGUUUUGUGGGCUGAACUGCAUCCCCCUAAGUUUAUGUUGAAUGUGAGUAUAUUUGCAGACAGGGUUCUUCAGAGGCAGUUAAGUGAGGUCAUAAGGAUCCUAGUCCAAUAGGACUGCAGCCUUAUAAGAAAAGGAAGGGAGUGGCACCUGUCUUUCGUGUCAUGAACUGAGAGAAGCCACAUGAAGACACAGCGAGGGGCGGCUCUCUGGAAGCCAGUAGGAGGCCCCGCCAGGCCCUACCAGGCUGGCCCCUUGCUCAUGGACUUCACCACCAUCGGAAUUGGGAGAACCAAAGUGCUGGUGUGUAAGCCACCAUAUCUGUCUGUGGUGGUUUGCUGUGGCAGCUCAAGCUGACGAUGUGUACUUGUGCUGGAAAGGUGCGAGGCAUCCUGCCAGACUUGAGGAGAAGGCGUGCUGGACACGAGAAUAAUAUCUGCUGUCAAGGAGUUCCAUCCAACUAGGAAGCAUGGAAGUGACUCUUCCUUAUCACCCUGAAGCUGUCCUGUGCUUGGCUGGUGCUGUGACUUCUGCAGCAUCUUGCCACACCACCAUCUUUCCCUGUGUGUCUUUCUCAGGCCAGCGCAGAUGCUGCAGGCUCCGUCCUUCUGGGGGUCCCUGCCUUUGGAAGGGCUCCCUCUUGUGGAGGCCCACCUGGACGACUGUCCUUGAAAGUAGAACAAUUAUCUCCAUUUUGGCUAAACCUGGCCCUAUUUCCAUGUAUCGAUAUGCACAGAGCUGGCUGGGACUUUUUCUUAUCCCUUCAGUUGGCUUUAAGCAAUGCAACUUGGUCUAGCCAGGUGCGGAUGUGCAGUCUUUGAAGCAAGGUGACAGGUCAGUGUUACCGCAGCCCCAUGGCUCCCCAAAAGCAUGUGUGAGCCAGGCGGGAGGAAAAGUCACGCUCCAUGCUGUUCAAGACAAGAGGCUGUGACUUCCCAGGGCACUAAGGAUUACACAUCGGAGGGGAAGCACUGACCCCAAAACACUGGACAGUCCUCAGACCGUGUCAUGCAGAUUGCUCCUCUGCACAUCCUUCUCUCUGUGCACUGCAGAGGGGAUUUCAGGCCGACUGCCCAGCCCGGCUCGGCUCGCAGGACUCAUGCACUUCCCGCCUCUCUCACGUCACUCAUCCUGGAGCCACUCCCCUCGCUGAGAAUUAAUAAACCUGAGUUCCGCCCUGGUUGAGGUCUUUGUUCCGGUUAACCACAGCUACAGAUAUCCUUAGUGUCUUUAUUCUCACCAUGGGUUGCACUGGAAAUGGUAGACUGGAAUUAGCUCACUAGAAAAGCUUCCUUUUGGUGUUACAAAUAUGAACUUCCUGGAGUGCACCAAGAUCCGGGAGGGCUCUCUGAACCCUCUGUUGUCUCUAUUGCUUGGCUGGGCCUCCGUCAGACUCUGCAGCUAUACAUUCCCCAAGAGGAAGGCCUGUGUCUCCCAUCAGGAUCUCAGAGGCAGCAUUUGGGUCAUUGAUUCUGGCACGCUCAGGGCCACCUUGAGCCUUGCACAUCCUGGGUGAUGAUAAAUAUUCUUCACUGGGAUUAAAUUUUCUCCCUCCCACUGUCUGAUGCUUAGUAAGUGGCCAACAAAUCUUUGUUGAAUUGAUGAGAGGAAGGGGAUGAGGUGAGAUCAGCACUGGGGAGGCGUUUGUUCCCCAAUUAUUUACAAAAAAUAGUGGAGGCCUGAAGUUACAGAUGACAGCUGGCAGCCCAGCUGACGGCCCAUGUGUUCCAGUUUCCUGGGAGUGAUAGCAUCAGUUUCUAACCACCGCAGUCUAUGAACUGGCCUGGCUGGCACCGUGUGGGGCUGGGAAGAGGCAGGUAGGGAAGAGAGGCAGGCUCCGGCUGGUCUUUCUGGGAGGGAAGCAAGCACAUCAGCUCGACUCUUACAACACAAUCCCCGCUGUUCCAGCGUUUCCUCUCAUCAGCUGUGAUGGCAGGAGCUGGAGCAGCCAUUCUAGACCAUGAAGUAGAUGAGGAUCACAAAAGAAAGAAGAAACCUGGGUACCGACCUUAUAAACCCCUCAUCAGCCCUGGACUCCAUGAGCUUCAAUUUUGUUUAAACCACUAUUAUUUUGACCUUUGUUUUAAUAUCUGAAAAUUUAUCGUCACAAACACUACUGCUUUUUAAAAAGUUGAGCACUAUUGCAUGACUCUAAUGGAUUCCAAGUAAUUUAUUUUGCAUGUGUCAUAAAUUAUUCAUGAAGCUG